AUACGUAGGGUGCGAGCGUUAAUCGGAAUUACUGGGCGUAAAGCGUGCGCAGGCGGUUUUGUAAGACAGAGGUGAAAUCCCCGGGCUCAACCUGGGAACUGCCAUUGUGACUGCAAGGCUGGAGUGCGGCAGAGGGGGAUGGAAUUCCGCGUGUAGCAGUGGGAUGCGUAGAUAUGCGGAGGAACACCGAUGGCGAAGGCAAUCCCCUGGGCCUGCACUGACGCUCAUGCACGAAAGCGUGGGGAGCAAACAGGAUUAGAUACCCUGGUAGUCCACGCCCUAAACGAUGUCAACUGGUUGUUGGGAAUUUAUUUUCUCAGUAACGAAGCUAACGCGUGAAGUUGACCGCCUGGGGAGUACGGCCGCAAGGUUAAAACUCAAAUGAAUUGACGGGG
rnacentral:rRNA from 1 species